rnacentral:tRNA from 1 species
GGUAAAAUGGCUGAGGUGAAGCAUUGAACUGUAAAUUCAAAGACAGAGAUAAUAUCUCUUUUUACCA